ACCUUGCGCGCAGUGUAGUUCUAAACCCGUCGGGGUUGGGGUACACCUGCACGACGUGGGAACACGAAAUGUCCAGAACUACACCGCAACCUCGAUUAGUUUAGAAUUACACCACGCGCAAGGUA
rnacentral:pre_miRNA from 1 species